GUUGAGAACCUUCCAUUUCCCCCUGGUUGAAAUACAUUAGUUGCUAUGGAAACUGCGAUCCCCCUGGUGUGGAUGGAGCCGAAUGACACCUACAAUUGCAGAGCACGGUUGGCGUCACCAGGGCUGGGAAAUGGGCAUCGUGGCUGGAGAGGGCACUGAAGGGCACAGAUGAGAAUAAUGACAGCACGACCGUCAGGAACCGACGCAGCACCCCUGGGUCAGAAGUUGUGGAAGAAGCCAUGGGUAACAGAAGCCCCCCAUGCCCUACACCACACAGAGGGGCGGGUCCCAUCAGAGGCCUAACCCCUGGAGGGCUCUCAUUUUC
rnacentral:lncRNA from 1 species